rnacentral:rRNA from 1 species
UACGUAGGGUGCGAGCGUUAAUCGGAAUUACUGGGCGUAAAGCGUGCGCAGGCGGUUCUCCAAGUCCGUUGUGAAAGCCCCGGGCUCAACCUGGGAAUGGCAGUGGAAACUAGGGGACUGGAAUCUUGCAGAGGGGGGUGGAAUGCCGCGUGUAGCAGUGAAAUGCGUAGAGAUGCGGCGGAACACCGAUGGCGAAGGCAGCCCCCUGGGCUGAGAUUGACGCUCAGGCACGAAAGCGUGGGGAGCAAACAGG